GUAAGCGAGUCCAAUUCUGCAAUCUCUAACCAACAAUCUGCAAACAAUAACGACGUCGUUUCAAUCGCAACAUCAAUGUACGAAUUUUCAAUCCCUAAUAAAAAUUGAAAAAUUCAACUAACUUUAAGAUUCCACGUUCGUUGAAGAAGAAGAAGAUAAACCUCUGAAUUUCGAAACCUCCAAAUUCAAUCAACAAUGUCGAAACGUUUCUUUUUCCUCCCACUCUCUCUCUUCCUCCUUCUUCUUUCUCUCUCCUCCGCAAACCCUAACCCUAAUUCUCUGUUAGCAGCACACACAGAACUCACAAGCUACGGCUUUCCCGUCGGACUUCUCCCCUCGAACGUCGCCGACUACUCAAUCAACCGAACUUCCGGCGACUUUUCCGUCAAACUCAGUGAUCAAUGCAAGCUUACUCUUCCGCCGGACAACUACCUCGCGUCGUAUUCGAAGAUCGUCAGGGGUAAAAUCGUCAAGAAUAAGAUUGCUCAGCUUGAUGGAAUUAGGGUUAGGGCUAUGUUUCAGUGGUGGUCGAUUACUGGGAUUCGAUCCAGUGGUGAUGAUUUGGUUUUCGAGGUUGGGUUGUUGAGUGCUAAGUAUCCCGCCAAAAAUUUCAAGGAGAGUCCUCCUUGUGAGGGUCUUAAGGCCGAUUCUUGAGCUCGGAACUUGAGGGUUUCACUCAUCUUUAUUUCAGUUUCGCAAGUGUACAUGCUUGCUCUCAAGUACCAUGCCCCAGGAGCAACUACCUCUAUUUUAUUGCUUUCCUUAUGUUAUGUGUAUAGAUGCUGUAAUCGUGUUAUAAUAUAGACUUUCAGUGGAAUAAAAUGUUACUGAUAAUAUCUAAGGCUUCUAAGCUUUGUCUGUAAUUUUAUUAACUUUUAAUGUUGUAUAUACAUACUGCAAACUGCUGCUGUUAUUUUUACUAUGAAGCUGUUGGCAUCACACUUGAAACUA